rnacentral:rRNA from 1 species
GAUGGACGCUGGCGGCGUGCCUAAUACAUGCAAGUCGAGCGAACAGACGAGGAGCUUGCUCCUCUGACGUUAGCGGCGGACGGGUGAGUAACACGUGGAUAACCUACCUAUAAGACUGGGAUAACUUCGGGAAACCGGAGCUAAUACCGGAUAAUAUAUUGAACCGCAUGGUUCAAUAGUGAAAGACGGUUUUGCUGUCACUUAUAGAUGGAUCCGCGCCGCAUUAGCUAGUUGGUAAGGUAACGGCUUACCAAGGCAACGAUGCGUAGCCGACCUGAGAGGGUGAUCGGCCACACUGGAACUGAGACACGGUACAGACUCCUACGGGAGGCAGCAGUAGGGAAUCUUCCGCAAUGGGCGAAAGCUUGACGGAGCAACGCCGCGUGAGUGAUGAAGGUCUUCGGAUCGUAAAACUCUGUUAUUAGGGAAGAACAAAUGUGUAAGUAACUAUGCACGUCUUGACGGUACCUAGUCAGAAAGCCACGGCUAACUACGUG